CAAUAGCGUAUAUUAAAGUUGUUGCAGUUAAAAAGCUCGUAGUUGGAUUUGUGGCGUACGGUGUGUUCCGGGCACUUGUUGCCUGAGUAGCCUGCUGUUGCCAUCCUUGGGUGGAACCUGUGUGGCAUUAGGUUGUCGUGCAGGGGAUGCCCAUCAUUUACUGUGAAAAAAUUAGAGUGUUCAAAGCAGGCUUAUGCCGUUGAAUAUAUUAGCAUGGAAUAAUGAGAUAGGACUUUUUUGCUAUUUUGUUGGUUUGCGCAAAGAGGUAAUGAUUAAUAGGGACAGUUGGGGGUAUUCGUAUUCCAUUGUCAGAGGUGAAAUUCUUGGAUUUUUGGAAGACGAACUACUGCGAAAGCAUUUACCAAGGAUGUUUUCAUUAA
rnacentral:rRNA from 1 species